AGAGUUUGAUCCUGGCUCAGGAUGAACGCUAGCUACAGGCUUAACACAUGCAAGUCGAGGGGAAACGACAUCGAAAGCUUGCUUUUGAUGGGCGUCGACCGGCGCACGGGUGAGUAACGCGUAUCCAACCUGCCCACCACUUGGGGAUAACCUUGCGAAAGUAAGACUAAUACCCAAUGACGUCUCUAGAAGACAUCUGAAAGAGAUUAAAAGAUUUAUCGGUGAUGGAUGGGGAUGCGUCUGAUUAGCUUGUUGGCGGGGUAACGGCCACCAAGGCUACGAUCAGUAGGGGUUCUGAGAGGAAGGUCCCCCANAUUGGAACUGAGACACGGUCCAAAUCCUACGGGAGCA
rnacentral:rRNA from 1 species